GCAUAUCAAUAAGCGUAUGUAAAUAGAAACUAAACAAGGAUUCCCCUAGUAACUGCGAGUGAAGAGGGAAAAGCUCAAAUUUAAAAUCUGGCAGUCUCUGAUUGUCCGAGUUGUAAUUUAGAGAAGUGUUACCCGUGUUGGACCGUGUACAAGUCUCCUGGAAUGGAGCGUCAUAGAGGGUGAGAAUCCCGUCUUUGAUACGGAUCCCAAUACAUUGUGGUACACUCUCGAAGAGUCGAGUUGUUUGGGAAUGCAGCUCUAAAUGGGUGGUAAAUUCCAUCUAAAGCUAAAUAUUGGGGAGAGACCGAUAGCGAACAAGUACCGUGAGGGAAAGAUGAAAAGAACUUUGGAAAGAGAGUUAAACAGUACGUGAAAUUGCUGAAAGGGAAACGCUUGAAGUCAGUCGCGUUGGUCGGGGAUCAGCCUUCCUUAUGGUUGGUGCAUUUCCUGAUCAACGGGUCAACAUCAGUUUUGAUCAAUGGAUAAAAGUUUGAGGGAUGUGGCAUCUUCGGGUGUGUUAUAACCUCUUGCUAUAUACAUUGAUUGGGACUGAGGAACUCAGCACGCCGCAAGGCCGGGUUUUUAACCACGUUCGUGCUUAGGAUGUUGGCAUAAUGGCUUUAAUCGACCCGUCUUGAAACACGGACCAAGGAGUCUAACAUGCCUGCGAGUGUUUGGGUGGAAAACCCGAGCGCGCAAUGAAAGUGAAAGUUAGGAUCUCUGUCGUGGAGAGCACUGACGCCCGGCCCAGACCUUUUGUGACGGUGCCGCGGUUGAGCAUGUAUGUUGGGACCCCGAAAGAUGGUGAACUAUGCCUGAAUAGGGGUGAAGCCAGAGGAAACUCUGGUGGAGGCUCGUAGCGAUUCUGACGUGCAAAUCGAUCGUCGAAUUUGGGUAUAGGGGGCGAAAGACUAAUCGAAACCAUCUAGUAGCUGGGUUCUGCGAG
rnacentral:rRNA from 1 species